UGGGGAAUAUUGGACAAUGGGCGAAAGCCUGAUCCAGCCAUGCCGCAUGAGUGAAGAAGGCCUUUGGGUUGUAAAGCUCUUUUAGUGAGGAAGAUAAUGACGGUACUCACAGAAGAAGUCCUGGCUAACUCCGUGCCAGCAGACGCGGUAAUACGGAGAGGGCUAGCGUUAUUCGGAAUUAUUGGGCGUAAAGGGCGCGUAGGCUGGUUAAUAAGUUAAAAGUGAAAUCCCGAGGCUUAACCUUGGAAUUGCUUUUAAAACUAUUAAUCUAGAGAUUGAAAGAGGAUAGAGGAAUUCCUGAUGUAGAGGUAAAAUUCGUAAAUAUUAGGAGGAACACCAGUGGCGAAGGCGUCUAUCUGGUUCAAAUCUGACGCUGAAGCGCGAAGGCGUGGGGAGCAAACA
rnacentral:rRNA from 1 species